rnacentral:rRNA from 1 species
GACGAACGCUGGCGGCGUGCUUAACACAUGCCAGUCGAACGGAAAGGCCUGCUUUCCCUUGUGGAUUGCGGGUACUCGAGUGGCGAACGGGUGAGUAACACGUGAGUGAUCUGCCCCCAACUUGGGUAUAAGCCUGGGAAACUGGGUCUAAUUCCCGAUAGGACUGCAGGGUGGUGCCUGUGGUGGAAAACGAUUUUCUAGUGGUUGGGGAUGAGCUCGCGGCCUAUCAGCUUGUUGGUGGGGUAAUGGCCUACCAAGGCGGCGACGGGUAGCCGGCCUGGGAGGGUGGGCGGCCACAUUGGGACUGAGAUACGGCCCAGACUCCUACGGGAGGCAGCAGUGGGGAAGAUUGCACAAUGGGCAGAAGCCUGAUGCAGCGACGCCGCGUGGGGGAUGACGGCCUUCGGGUGGUAAACUCCUUUCGACCGCGAGGAAGCCACCUGGUUGGAAGGGUGGUGACGGUAGUGGUAGAAGAAGCACCGGCUAACUACGUG